rnacentral:rRNA from 1 species
AACGCUAGCUACAGGCUUAACACAUGCAAGUCGAGGCGAAACNGAUAGAGAAAGCUUGCUCUUUCUAGGCGUCGACCGGCGCACGGGUGAGUAACGCGUAUCCAACCUGCCCAUACACUUGGCGACAACCUUGCGAAAAGCAAGACUAAUACCCAAUGACGUCUCUAGAAGAGCAUCUGAAAGAUGACUAAAGAGUUAGGCGGUAACAGAUGGGGAUGCGUCCGAUUAGCUAGACGGCGGGGUAACGGCCCACCAAGUGUCGACGAUCAGUAGGGGUUCUGAGAGGAAGGUCCCCCACACUGGAACUGAGACACGGUCCAAACUCCUACGGGAGGCAGCAGUGAGGAAUAUUGGUCAAUGGACGCAGAGCCUGAACCAGCCAAGUAGCGUGCAGGGAAGACGGCCCUAUGGGUUGUAAACCUGCUUUUAUAAGGGAAUAAAGUGAGUCUCGUGACGACGUCCCUUAUUGCAGGUACCGCACGAAUAAGGACCGGCUAAUUCCGUGCCAGCAGCCGCGGUAAUACGGAAGGUCCGGGCGUUAUCCGGAUUUAUUGGGUUUAAAGGGAGCGCAGGCCGGACAUUAAGCGUGCUGUGAAAUGCACACGGCUCAACCGUCUGCACUGCAGCGCGAACUGGAGGACUUGAGUACGCACAAGGUAGGCGGAAUUCGUGGUGUAGCGGUGAAAUGCUUAGAUAUCACGAAGAACUCCGAUUG